rnacentral:rRNA from 1 species
GACUCUCAGCAAUGGAUAUCUCGACUCUCACAUAAAUUAAGAACAUAGCAAAAUGUGAUACUUGGUAUGAAUUGUAGAAUUUCAUGAACCAUCAAUUCUUUGAAUGUAAGGUACGCCCAAAGACAUUAGGAUGAGGGCACGUCUUCCUGGUCGUCA